UCUGCAGCGCAGCUCCGGAGACCUUGCACCCCGAACGGGAGGCAGCACGACGAUAAACAAAGCUCGCCGCGUGCAAGUUGCCGUAUGGUCAGCAACACGAUCGAAUUGACGGGGACCUCCUAAAGCCCGCAACACCAACCGUCCGGGGAAACUCGGGCGGGGCCCUCACGGGGUGGUAAGAGAGUGCAGGAUGAACAAUGGACGAUCCGCAGCGAAGACCCUACCGGCGAGAGCCCACGGGUACCGUUCACAGACUA
rnacentral:rRNA from 1 species